CCUGUACUCCCUCCGUUCGGAAUUACUUGUCGCAGAAAUGGAUGUAUCUAGACGUAUCAUCCAUUUCUGCGACAAGUAAUUCUGAACGGAGGGAGUAUUUG
rfam:Triticum aestivum genome assembly, contig: Triticum_aestivum_CS42_TGACv1_scaffold_212838_3AS